rnacentral:lncRNA from 1 species
GUUAGCUUUUCUAUCUGAAUGCAUUCAAAACAAUUCGCUUUCUAGAUGAUCCUUCUAGAAGAGUGGGAUUAGAAUAGAACAAUUUUUCUAGUUACUUCGUUCUCUAUUUCUAUUUGAGAAAAUCCUUAGGAAAAGCAUUUUGUUUCCGCCGAGCUAAAACAAGAUGUAAAUGUCUCUAGUAAACCAAAGUUAUCGUUUAAUAGCUAUUUUGCUUCAAUCUAUCCCAUAAAAAAAGUGAAGAUUUAGUUACGAUUAGAAAUACACUUUUCUAUCUUUAUCCAUGGAUCUUUUCCUCAUACUUAUUCAAUUGGAAGUAUUGAUCCAAUUGAAAAAAUUAUGUUUC